AUUGAACGCUGGCGGCAGGCCUAACACAUGCAAGUCGAGCGGAUGAAGGGAGCUUGCUCCUGGAUUCAGCGGCGGACGGGCGAGUAAUGCCUAGGAAUCUGCCUGGUAGUGGGGGAUAACGUCCGGAAACGGGCGCUAAUACCGCAUACGUCCUGAGGGAGAAAGUGGGGGAUCUUCGGACCUCACGCUAUCAGAUGAGCCUAGGUCGGAUUAGCUAGUUGGUGGGGUAAAGGCCUACCAAGGCGACGAUCCGUAACUGGUCUGAGAGGAUGAUCAGUCACACUGGAACUGAGACACGGUCCAGACUCCUACGGGAGGCAGUAGUGGGGAAUAUUGGACAAUGGGCGAAAGCCUGAUCCAGCCAUGCCGCGUGUGUGAAGAAGGUCUUCGGAUUGUAAAGCACUUUAAGUUGGGAGGAAGGGCAGUAAGUUAAUACCUUGCUGUUUUGACGUUACCAACAGAAUAAGCACCGGCUAACUUCGUG
rnacentral:rRNA from 1 species